AGCCUAUCAGUUUGCACUUUGCUGGGCUAAAUUCAUCCUUACAUUGAAGAAAUUAGAGUGCCUCUGCAAUGCAGAUGAAUCAUUUGGUAUCCCACAUGCACAGAACAUUUUGAGGCCUGCAGCCAACUUGCAAUUGCAACAAGAGUUCUCCGGAAAUGGGCUUUGGUGCUCUGCGGACGUCGGUGUCUUGAGAUCGCUAUCAGAGUAUGAUUAUGAUGAUGCCUACCCCUUCUAGCUGUUGGAAAGAAAAAGGCAUGGAGAGCCCUCUGUCUGAAUAGCAUCGCUCUGUGGACGUCGGUGUCUUGAGAUCACUGUUAGAGUAUGAUGAUGCCUACCCGUUGUAGUUGUUGGAAAGAAAAAGGCAUGGAGAGCCCUCUAUCAGGACAGCAUUGAUCAAACAGGUGAGUGGGGCCUAGGUUGAUGGGAUAGCGUGUCAUCGCGCAGUAAAAAAGACCACCAAAGGCAUCGGUGAGUGGGGCCUCGGUUGAUGGGAUAGCCUAUCAUGGCACACGAAAAGGGAAGUUGUGGCUUCACUAUGAGUGUGGUAGACGUGUCCUCUUCAUAAUUUUUAGUUGUAGAGAUAAAUGAUGAUCCAUAGCAUUAUUUGUGUGUCCAUUGCAAACGGCUUUGCUAUAAUCAGUUGAGUAUACAUUGUUUAGAGAUAAACGUUAUUGCAGUUUAUAGAUAAUCGGGAUAUUUUGGUUG